rnacentral:sRNA from 16 species
CAUUUCCAUUAAUAAUAUUAUCCUGGGGAUGGAAAUAGU